UUGGCCUUGACAUACUAAGAACUUUCCAGAGAUGGAUUGGUGCCUUCGGGAACUUAGAUACAGGUGCUGCAUGGCUGUCGUCAGCUCGUGUCGUGAGAUGUUGGGUUAAGUCCGCAACGAGCGCAACCCUUUUCCUUAUUUGCCAGCGGGUCAUGCCGGGAACUUUAAGGAUACGGCCAGUGACAAACUGGAGGAAGGCGGGGACGACGUCAAGUCAUCAUGGCCCUUACGGCCAGGGCUACACACGUGCUACAAUGGUCGGUACAAAGGGUUGAUACCUCGCGAGAGGAUGCUAAUCUCAAAAAGCCGAUCGUAGUCCGGAUCGCAGUCUGCAACUCGACUGCGUGAAGUCGGAAUCGCUAGUAAUCGCGGAUCAGAAUGCCGCGGUGAAUACGUUCCCGGGCCUUGUACACACCGCCCGUCACACCAUGGGAGUUUGUUGCACCAGAAGUAGGUAGUCUAACCGCAAGGAGGACGCUUACCACGGUGUGGCCGAUGACUGGGGUGAAGUCGUAACAAGGUAAGCGUAGAUGA
rnacentral:rRNA from 1 species